GGUGACAUGGGACAGCUGGGUGACAUGGGGAGCACCUGGGUGACAUGGGGGACAGCUGGGUGACAUAGGAGGGCUGGGUGACAUGGGACAGCUGGGUGACCUGGGUGACAUCUGGGUGACAUGGGACAGCUGGGUGACAUGGGAUGGCUGGGUGACAUGGGACAGGUGGGGUGACAUAGGAGAGCACCUGGGUGACAUGGGAGCACCUGGGUGACGGGACAGCUGGGUGACAGGGGACAGACAGGUGACAGGGGACAGCUGGGUGAUGGGGAGCACCUGGGUGACAUGGGAUGGCUGAGUGACAGGGGACUUCUGGGUGACAUGGGAUGGCUGGGUGACAGGGGACUUCUGGGUGACAUGAGAGCACCUGGGUGACGGGACAGCUGGGUGACAAAGGACAACUGGGUGACAUGGGACAGCUGGGUGACAAAAGGCCCCUGGGUGAUGGGAGCACCUGGGUGACAAGGGACAGCUGGGUGACAUGGGGGACAGCUGGGUGACAUAGGAGAGCUGGGUGACAUGGGGAGCACCUGGGUGAUGGGAGCACCUGGGUGAUGGGACAGCUGGGUGACAUGGGACAGACAGGUGACAGGGGACAGCUGGGUGAUGGGAGCACCUGGGUGA
rnacentral:lncRNA from 1 species